AACAGCGCAAAAAUUGGUGGUGGCGGAGCGCUCUCGCGAGCCGAUUGUUCGUGCAUAGCCCUUUCGAGAAAACGCUCGUCGAGCCGCCAAAAGAGAAGACCACGGAGGAUAAUGCGAUUUUUGAAUGUC
ensembl:ncRNA M195.5 ncRNA